AUUUGAAGGGGGCUGCUCCUAGUACGAGAGGACCGGAGUGGACGAACCUCUGGUGUACCGGUUGUGACGCCAGUCGCAUCGCCGGGUAGCUAUGUUCGGAAGAGAUAACCGCUGAAAGCAUCUAAGCGGGAAACUCGCCUUAAGAUGAGAUAUCCCUGGGGACUUGAUCCCCUUGAAGGGUCGUUCGAGACCAGGACGUUGAUAGGUCGGGUGUGUAAGCGCAGUAAUGCGUUCAGCUAACCGAUACUAAUUGCCCGUAAGGCUUGAUCCUAUAACA
rnacentral:rRNA from 1 species